rnacentral:sRNA from 22 species
GAGGAAGUCGGUGUGAGUCCGGCGCGGUCCCGCCACUGUGAACCGGCACAUUGUCGAUCUGCCCCGUAGAUCGACACACUGAACGGUGCAGCCAGAUACUC